rnacentral:lncRNA from 1 species
AUGGCUGUGGAUUCCCGGCAGGCAGAAACAACUGCUGCCUCCUCUGCUCAGAGUCAUUCCGGAAUUCGGUCAAGUUGGCCAUGUCAGAGAAAGCCUCAGAAGGUGGUCAUUUUGCCAUUGACUUUAACAGCUAGACUGACACUCAUUCCCCGCGGUAGCUGGUGUGUGCUGAACCUGUCACCGCCUCUUCAAAACAUUGCUGGUUUCCAUGGAAACAAAAAAGCACUUACUGAAAGAGCUGCUGGAAAUUUCGAGUCAAGAUGUCCAAAACUGUCCCUGUGAUAUAUUUUUCUAAGACCUGAUUUGAAAGAGAAACAAUAGCGCAACUUGGCAAAGAAGACAAAGGAAGAUAAAUGAUAAUUAAAAACGGCUUGGCACCAUGUCUAGAUCCCAACAUCCGGUCGCGAUGCUGUCCUUUUCAAAAUCAGGUCCAGGGAGAUAUUGGGUGAAGAAGCACCACUGACCCACAGGCCCCUGACUUCAGACAUGGCUUUGUUAUGGACACGAGCCUAUCUGCUGUUCACAGGGUUUAAAUCUUGACAGGCUUAUGCAGCAACAUGACUCUGAAUACACUUGCUAAAUGAACCUCUUGCAUGCCAAUCUACCUCCUACUCUCUGAGCUAAAAAAGAGCUCUGCAACUCGGAUGAUUAUAUACCUAUUUUUUCAAUCCACUCUGUAAGGCGGGAACGUGAAAUGAAAGAUAAUAGCUUCCUUUAACCGUUGUUAGAUUGGCAUACCAGAAGGUGAGAUUUUCUUUUAAACUCCUCAUGAAGAUAUUUAAUUAAGUUUUUUUUGUUGGCCACCCUGUGGCUUAUGGAGUUCCCCGACCAGGGAUCGAAUUCUAGCUGGAGCUGUGACCUACGCCACAGCUGCAGCAAUGCUGGAUGCUUAACCCACUGCACUGGGCCUGGGAUCAAACUCUCGUCCCUGCCACUGCAGAGACACUGUUGAUCCUGUUGCACCACAGUGGAAACUCCUAAUUACUUUUUUAAGAAAGAGUAUCUGGAGUUCCUGUCUUGGCGCAGCAGAAAUGAAUCUGACUAAGAACCAUGAGGUUGCGGGUUCAAUCCCUGGCCUCGCUCAGUGGGUUAAGGAUCCCAGUGUUGCCGGGGGCUGUGGUGUAGGUCGCAUGUGCAGCUCGGAUCCUGAGUUGCUGUGGCUGUGUUAUAGGCCGGCGGCUACAGCUCUCAUUCAAACCCUAGCCUGGAAACCUCCAUAUGCCACAAGUGUGGCCCUAAAAAGACAAAAGACAAAAAGAAAGAAAAAGAAAUAGAAUCCAAA